AUGCAUUUUCAGAAGAUAUACAUACAAUAAAUUGUCUGAAAUUUUCCAUUGGAGUUUUUUUUAUUAUUUUUAGCUGGAACUGGACGCGUAUUUGGUAAAAAUGUAAUCAUACAAUACAAAAAAAGAAAAACAAUGAGUCAAUAAAGUUGAUGACGUGCAAAUAUUAUGGUCAAAUGUAGCUCACACAACUAACAUGCAACUCCACAAGGCCAAGUUCCCGAUUAUUGACAUAAUAAUUACGAAUCGCACCGUCAUAACUGCUACUGUCACUGCAGAUUUAUUUGUGAGUGCUAAUGGCGCCGAGGCAUUAACAGGAGACGCGGUCGGCCGCCGCAAGGACCCUUUGUCGCCGCGUAACAUAUUCAUCGGAACAUCGACCACCAUGUAGCUAUAGCUGUUGGGCCUUUCACGUUAACAUGUAAUAUGUAUUUUAAUAGUCUAACUAUUAACAUUUAUAUGCCUGUUAUGUUUAUAACAAGAUGAACUUUAUUAACAAUUUAUAGUAUUUUUCUUUUUGAAGUGGCACACGCCAUCGACUAUAUUUACUGUAUUGUAACAUUGUACUUCUGUUGUCGCUUGACCGUGUUGUUGUUGAAGCACGAGUGUUGUUAGGUUACCCUACCUACCGCGGCGCUAAAUUUAUUUAAACUUUUUUUUUAGAUUUUAAUUAUUUAUUAGAUCUAGUGAUAUAUUAUAUUCUCGAAAUAUAGAAGUAUCAAUCUAUUAAGAAAAAAAAUUUGGCGCCGUCUAAAUAGUUUUUUUUUCUCUAUAGUUUAGAUAUUAUUUUUUAACUGUUUCAUAUUCAAAAUCACUAUAUUUUAGAAAUAUGGUUAAAAGUAGUGACAUAAAACUGAAAUGAUGUUUUAGUUUCAUUGUCUUCUUUUUGAAUGCAUGUCUAUUUAUUACAGAAACUCAAAUAAGAUUUUUAUAUUUUAAAUUCUACAAUUUUUGAAAUAAUUUAUAUGUUAGUGUAGUGUAGUACAAAUUACAUAAAUAUUCGGAUUCUGGAGAUGAGAAGAAACAUCGCUUCUCCAAAUCACAAACAAGAGGCAGGAUAGUGGUAACUGGAUGUAAGUAUAAGUGUAAUAGAUAUUAAUUUUGCAAAUUUAUAGAUUAGCACGUUUUGAUUGGACUUAUAACAGAGUUAUAGUCUUGUAUUUCAUUUACUUAUUGACUUUAACAUCCUUUGAAAAUAUUUCAUGAGCCAUUCACCAAAGAAUAAUAUAGAGAGAGCCCUUGGUCAAUGGACUAUUUGAUACAUUUUAUUUUUUAAUAAAAUACAAUAUGUCUUCCGUCAUAGAGUAUAACGGUCGAUGAGUAAAUGAAUUCUCAUUCGUGUUUAAUUUUUUUUAUAUAUUAUUAUAUUUUUAAUCACUAGUGCUUUAUAUUUAUACAUAACAAAUGGUAUAUUGCGCAAGUCAAGUGCCCUAAUAAUUAAUGUACAAUGUUUUCAUUUUUGUGGUUCUAUAAAACUGUUAUAUUGAUUAUUUAAUAAUAGAGUAAAGUUAGAAGAGAUUAAAUUAUUGUUAACUUUGCUUAAUGUUAAUGUUUAUACUUUUUCUUGAAUAUCAAUAUAGGAGAUUAAUUGAAUUUUUUUGUAAGUUUAUAGUAGAUUGAGUAGUCUUGAGAAGUAUAUUAAUAUAAUCAUUAGCGGCUUCGUUGCAAUCUCCUGUAAGAAUCUCUUGAUAAAUAUUAUCUCUUAACAGAAUAUCAUGGAUCAUUAAAACUUAAGUGAUUUGGUAAUAAACUAAAUAACAUAUCUCGAAAGUUAAAAAUCUGUAUGCAAUCGCAACUGUGGCAAUUAUUUUCAUAUAGUUAAUUGUUAUGUACAUAGGUAACGUAUUGUUAAAAGCAAUAAUAUUUCACUAAUUUACUAUAUUAACGCUAGUGCAAUAGAUGUUAUUUCGAAUUGAUAUUUUAUAGAGAAUUCUCAAUGUUUGAGCGAUUAUUAAAGGAAAAGAUGAAAAGAGAUCUGAUGUUGAGAUUAACGAAAUACUUUAGUGGAAAUUUAAUCACAUGUUACAUUGAGAACAAAAAUUUAUACUUAAAAUUUUAUUUAGAAUUAAGCAUAAUUAUAAAAAAGUAAUUUUUACGAGGAAAAAAAUAUAAAAAAUAUGGUUGUCUAUAAGUGCCUAAUUUGAAUUUGGAAAUGUGAAAAUGAAUAAGAAAUAAAAAGUUAAAAAUGUAUGAAAUAUACAAUAUGUAGUACGUUGAUAUAUGACAGACAUAAAUGUUAGUCGAUCAAUCGGCUUGUAUAAUCUUUGAAGUUGUUAACACACUCCGUCCAUGAUUACUUCAUUAUUUACGUACUUAAUAUGUUGGUCUCCAACUGGUUUUAAACGACCAUAAAUAUCUCUAUGUAAUUAUACAUCUGUGUUAACAUUUGAAUCUAAUUAACGUUAUUUCUUAUAUACUAUUUACCAACGUAAAUAGAACUCACAAUAAUUAAUUAUAUCUUCAUCAUUAACAGUGACAUUAUCAAGUUUUGAUAAUAACAGUGUUACUUAAAAGUAAUAUUUUUCAGUAUAUUUUGCUUUUUUACGAUAAAAGUCGAAUAUUAGUUUUUGCUUAUCUUUUGAUCUGAUUUAAUUCAAAUUAAUGUGGUGCGAAGGUGCUACACAGCAAAUUUUGGACAACACAUUAAAAAAAAUCGAUAUUUAUCUUAAAACGUUGUUAAAUGAAAUUUUUAACAUUUAUAUAAAUAUAUUUUAACAUAAAAUCUAUCAUAUUAUAUUAAAUCGAUUGUAAGGUAAAGGAUAAUAUUUUCCGUGGCAUUUUCCUGUACCCGUAAUUAUGGUACAAAAAUAGCAUUUAAAUCAUCUGAUGCCAUAGUUUUCAAAUGAGAAAGAAUUACAUCUAACUAUAUGUUAUCAAUUUAAUAUUGUGAUUAAUAAAUUUAAUAACGUACAAAGUUUUUGAAAGUCUGUGUAGUUAUUUUAUGUUUCAAAUGGAUCUAUUGUUGCUUGAAACAUUUUUUGUGCCAUCAUCAGACGGACUUUCAUGUUUUUUUAAUUAUAUUUGUACUUAUACCCACAAUGGCAAAUCACAAAUGUGCCUUAAAAUGAACUUUGUAAAUAAAUAUAUACUAUAUAUAAUUUUCAAUGAAGUAUUAAAGGGGAAUAAAUUCUUACAAUUGUUUUCCAAAAACAAAAUAGAGUAUAUCUACUUUUAUAGCUUAGUUAAGUGAGAUUGUGCAUAUUACUUAUGUCUGUUUUGAUGUGUGUUUAAGAUUGAUUUGGCAUUAGUAAAUAUAUUAUUUGGAAAAAAA